CCUACGGGAGACAGCAGUGCGGAAUAUUGGUCAAUGGGCUUAAGCCUGCACCAGCCAAGUCGCGUGAGUGAUGACGGUUCUAUGGAUCGUACACCUCUUUUAUCCGGGCAUAAACUGCGAUCCGUGUCCCGUUUUGUAUGUACCUUUUGCAUCAGGAUCGGCUACCUCCGUGCCAGCCGCCUCGGUAAUACGGCGGUUCCGAGCGUUAUCCGGAUUUAUUUGGUUUAAAGGUUGCGUAGGCGGCCUUUUAAGUCAGCGGUGAAAGUCUGUGGCUCAACAGUAGAAUUGACGGUGAAACUGGGAGGCGGGAGUGUAUUUGAGGCAGGGGGAAUGUGUGGUGUAGCGGUGAAAUGCUUAGAUAUCACGCAGAACACCGAUUGCGAAGGCAGCCGGCCAAGCCAUGACUGACGCUGAUGCACGAAAGCGUGGGGAUCAAACAGGAUUAGAUACCCCAGUAGUC
rnacentral:rRNA from 1 species